rnacentral:rRNA from 1 species
GACGGAGGAUGCAAGCGUUAUCCGGAAUGAUUGGGCGUAAAGCGUCCGCAGGUGGCAGUUCAAGUCUGCUGUCAAAGACCGGGGCUUAACUUCGGAAAGGGAGUGGAAACUGAACAGCUAGAGUAUGGUAGGGGCAGAGGGAAUUCCUGGUGUAGCGGUGAAAUGCGUAGAGAUCAGGAAGAACAUCGGUGGCGAAGGCGCUCUGCUGGACCAUAACUGACACUCAGGGACGAAAGCUAGGGGAGCGAAUGGG